AGGGAAAGAUGAAAAGAACUUUGGAAAGAGAGUUAAACAGUACGUGAAAUUGUUGAAAGGGAAACGCUUGAAGUCAGUCGCGUCUGCCAGGGAUCAACCUUACUUUUGUGAGGCGUACUUCCUGGUUGAUGGGUCAGCAUCAGUUUUGGUUGCUGGAUAAAGGUCAGAGAAAUGUGGCACCUUCGGGUGUGUUAUAGUCUUUGAUCAGAUACAGUGGCUGGGACUGAGGAACUCAGCGCC
rnacentral:rRNA from 1 species